GCUUGGAAGGCCUAGAACACUAGAGAAGUAAACUACAGUUGGUUUACAUACGGAUUUGUCACUCAAAUGCAGUGUGAAAAAGGAUGUAGUAUUCAUAUUCCUUCGAGAAGUGUAAUAAACAAUCCAUCGGAGGGGCACACCAAACCAAGGACCAAGACAUUAUAAAAAACCCAAGAAGAGAUAAUUAUUCCAAUAUUAACUGCAGGAUUUUCGAAUCCAAGGAUGAUCUAAGGUGGUAACGAAAGGAGAUUUAACAAAUCCAAUCAGGAAAUUUAAAAUUGAUACCAGAGAUGUAAUCAUUGAUGAGUGACACCGGAGAAUUUUGCGCAACAAAUGAAUGUUUUGUGAUGAUUAUUUCACGGUAUUUGGAAAAUUUUAGGGGCAACAUUUUAUGAAGAAAAUUUGACAGCAAUGAAAUUUUUAGAUUUAUUAAGAAAUAAUAUUGAGCCCCUUACUUCCUAUACAAGAAUACUAUUCCUGAAAUAGAACAAUCCAUCAUUUAUUAUCAUGUAUAUCAUUUUUUAUAUAUCAGUGAAUUUUUAAAUGGAAAUUUUAGACAAUGGAUUGAGCAAAACGACACCAUCUGGCCAACAAGGGGCCCUUUAAAAGAAAUAGCAUACAACAAUAUGCCCAUAGAAGUUUUUGCAUUACAACAACAAAUUCGGGAUGCAAUGAAUUAA